UGGGGAAUAUUGCACAAUGGGGGAAACCCUGAUGCAGCGACGCCGCGUGAACGAAGAAGGUAUUCGUAUCGUAAAGUUCUGUCCUAUUGGAAGAUAAUGACAGUACCAUAGAAGAAAGCUCCGGCUAAAUACGUGCCAGCAGCCGCGGUAAUACGUAUGUAGCGAGCGUUGUCCGGAAUUAUUGGGCGUAAAGGGUACGCAGGCGGUUUAAUAAGUCGAAUGUUAAAGAUCGGGGCUCAACCCCGCAAAGCAUUGGAAACUGAUAAACUUGAAUAGUGGGAAGGAAAGUGGAAUUCCUAGUGUAGUGGUGAAAUACGUAGAUAUUAGGAGGAAUACCAGUAGCGAAGGCGACGUUCUGGACACAAACUGACGCUGAGGUACGAAAGCGUGGGGAGCAAACAGG
rnacentral:rRNA from 1 species